UACGGGGGGGGCAAGCGUUGUUCGGAAUUACUGGGCGUAAAGGGCUCGUAGGCGGCCAACUAAGUCGGAUGUGAAAUCCCCAGGCUUAACCUGGGAACUGCGUCGGAUACUGGAUGGCUUGAAUCCGGGAGAGGGAUGCGGAAUUCCAGGUGUAGCGGUGAAAUGCGUAGAUAUCUGGAGGAACACCGGUGGCGAAGGCGGCAUCCUGGACCGGCAUUGACGCUGAGGAGCGAAAGCCAGGGGAGCAAACGGG
rnacentral:rRNA from 1 species